rnacentral:misc_RNA from 1 species
AUCUCAACACGACACUGAAUGGUGGGUAUCGACAAAAUUGCUGGGGAUUUGAUUCUUUACAAGGAUUGAGUCUUUUGUCUCAUCAACUGAUGAAAUUUUCACACACUUUUGCAGGUGAAAACGUGAUCCAAGCAAAAAACAUGCAUCACCAUCUGACAUUUUGUUGAAAUAUCUUUCAGUUUUCGACAUUCGUUUUGCUAACAUUAGUUACCUUGAGUUUCUAAUACCCCUUUCCCAUCUGAUUUAUUUAUUGCACUCCUCUUGGAUGCCUCCGAUACCCUGAUUUAUAGCUAACGUAUUCUAUCUAAAACCGUGA